GAGCUUGCUAUCAGGCGUCGAGCGGCGGACGGGUGAGUAAUACUUAGGAAUCUACCUAGUAGUGGGGGAUAGCACGGGGAAACUCGUAUUAAUACCGCAUACGUCCUACGGGAGAAAGGGGGCAACUUGUUGCUCUCGCUAUUAGAUGAGCCUAAGUCGGAUUAGCUAGAUGGUGGGGUAAAGGCCUACCAUGGCGACGAUCUGUAGCUGGUCUGAGAGGAUGAUCAGCCACACCGGGACUGAGACACGGCCCGGACUCCUACGGGAGGCAGCAGUGGGGAAUAUUGGACAAUGGGGGAAACCCUGAUCCAGCCAUGCCGCGUGUGUGAAGAAGGCCUUUUGGUUGUAAAGCACUUUAAGCAGUGAAGAAGACCUAACGGUUAAUACCCGUUAGCGAUGACAUUAGCUGCAGAAUAAGCACCGGCUAACUCUGUGCCAGCAGCCGCGGUAAUACAGAGGGUGCAAGCGUUAAUCGGAAUUACUGGGCGUAAAGCGAGCGUAGGUGGCUUGAUAAGUCAGAUGUGAAAUCCCCGGGCUUAACCUGGGAACUGCAUCUGAAACUGUUAGGCUAGAGUAGGUGAGAGGGAAGUAGAAUUUCAGGUGUAGCGGUGAAAUGCGUAGAGAUCUGAAGGAAUACCGAUGGCGAAGGCAGCUUCCUGGCAUCAUACUGACACUGAGGCUCGAAAGCGUGGGUAGCAAACAGGAUUAGAUACCCUGGUAGUCCACGCCGUAAACGAUGUCUACUAGUCGUUGGGUCCCUUGAGGACUUAGUGACGCAGCUAACGCAAUAAGUAGACCGCCUGGGGAGUACGGCCGCA
rnacentral:rRNA from 1 species